AGCGAACGCUGGCGGCAGGCCUAACACAUGCAAGUCGAACGAACCUUUCGGGGUUAGUGGCGGACGGGUGAGUAACACGUGGGAACGUGCCUUUAGGUUCGGAAUAACUCAGGGAAACUUGUGCUAAUACCGAAUGUGCCCUUCGGGGGAAAGAUUAAUCGCCUUUAGAGCGGCCCGCGUCUGAUUAGCUAGUUGGUUGAGGUAAUGGCGCACCAAGGCGACGAUCAGUAGCUGGUCUGAGAGGAUGAUCAGCCACAUUGGGACUGAGACACGGCCCAAACUCCUACGGGAGGCAGCAGUGGGGAAUCUUGCGCAAUGGGCGAAAGCCUGACGCAGCCAUGCCGCUUGAAUGAUGAAGGUCUUAGGAUUGUAAAAUUCUUUCACCGGGGACGAUAAUGACGGUACCCGGAGAAGAAGCCCCGGCUAACUUCGUG
rnacentral:rRNA from 1 species